rnacentral:rRNA from 1 species
CCUACGUGGGGCAGCAGUGGGGAAUAUUGCGCAAUGGGCGAAAGCCUGACGCAGCGACGCCGCGUGAGGGAUGAAGGUCUUCGGAUCGUAAACCUCUGUCAGCAGGGAAGAACGGUCACUGUGCUAAUCAGCAGUGAAUUGACGGUACCUGCAAAGGAAGCACCGGCUAACUCCGUGCCAGCAGCCGCGGUAAUACGGAGGGUGCGAGCGUUAAUCGGAAUUACUGGGCGUAAAGCGCUCGUAGGCGGUCUGUCAAGUCAAGGGUGAAAUCCCCGCGCUCAACGUGGGAACUGCCUUUGAAACUGGAAAACUGGAGUGUGUGAUAGGAUAGUGGAAUUCCAGGUGUAGGAGUGAAAUCCGUAGAUAUCUGGAGGAACAUCAGUGGCGAAGGCGACUAUCUGGCACAUAACUGACGCUGAGGAGCGAAAGCGUGGGUAGCAAACAGGAUUAGAUACCCGAGUAGUC